rnacentral:rRNA from 1 species
AUUGAACGCUGGCGGCAGGCCUAACACAUGCAAGUCGAGCGGAUGAAGGGAGCUUGCUCCUGGAUUCAGCGGCGGACGGGUGAGUAAUGCCUAGGAAGCUGCCUGGGAGUGGGGGAUAACGUCCGGAAACGGGCGCUAAUACCGCAUACGGCCUGAGGGAGAAAGUGGGGGAUCUUCGGACCUCACGCUAUCAGAUGAGCCUAGGUCGGAUUAGCUAGUUGGUGGGGUAAAGUCCUACCAAGGCGACGAACCGUAACUGGUCUGAGAGGAUGAUCAGUCACACUGGAACUGAGACACGGUCCAGACUCCGGCGGGAGGCCGCAGUGGGGAAUAUUGGACGAUGGGCGAAAGCCUAAUCCAGCCCUGCCGCGUGUGUGAAGAAGGUCUUCGGAUUGUAGAGCACUUUAAGUUGGGAGGACGGGCAGUAAGUUACUACCUUGCUGUUUUGACGUUACCAACAGAGUAAGCACCGGCUAACUUCGUG